GACGAACGCUGGCGGCGUGCUUAACACAUGCAAGUCGAACGGAAAGGCCCUGCUUUUGUGGGGUGCUCGAGUGGCGAGCGGGUGAGUAACACGUGAGUAACCUGCCCUUGACUUUGGGAUAACUUCAGGAAACUGGGGCUAAUACCGGAUAGGAGCUCCUGCUGCAUGGUGGGGGUUGGAAAGCUUCGGCGGUUGGGGAUGGACUCGCGGCUUAUCAGCUUGUUGGUGGGGUAGUGGCUUACCAAGGCUUUGACGGGUAGCCGGCCUGAGAGGGUGACCGGCCACAUUGGGACUGAGAUACGGCCCAGACUCCUACGGGAGGCAGCAGUGGGGAAUAUUGCACAAUGGGCGGAAGCCUGAUGCAGCAACGCCGCGUGCGGGAUGACGGCCUUCGGGUUGUAAACCGCUUUCGCCUGUGACGAAGCGUGAGUGACGGUAAUGGGUAAAGAAGCACCGGCUAACUACGUGCCAGCAGCCGCGGUGAUACGUAGGGUGCGAGCGUUGUCCGGAUUUAUUGGGCGUAAAGGGCUCGUAGGUGGUUGAUCGCGUCGGAAGUGUAAUCUUGGGGCUUAACCCUGAGCGUGCUUUCGAUACGGGUUGACUUGAGGAAGGUAGGGGAGAAUGGAAUUCCUGGUGGAGCGGUGGAAUGCGCAGAUAUCAGGAGGAACACCAGUGGCGAAGGCGGUUCUCUGGGCCUUUCCUGACGCUGAGGAGCGAAAGCGUGGGGAGCGAACGGGCUUAGAUACCCUGGUAGUCCACGCUGUAAACGGUGGGUACUAGGUGUGGGGUCCAUUCCACGGGUUCCGUGCCGUAGCUAACGCUUUAAGUACCCCGCCUGGGGAGUACGGCCGCAAGGCUAAAACUCAAAGGAAUUGACGGGGCCCCGCACAAGCGGCGGAGCAUGCGGAUUAGUUCGAUGCAACGCGUAGAACCUUACCUGGGUUUGACAUGGAUCGGGAGUGCUCAGAGAUGGGUGUGCCUCUUUUGGGGUCGGUUCACAGGUGGUGCAUGGCUGUCGUCAGCUCGUGUCGUGAGAUGUUGGGUUAAGUCCCGCAACGAGCGCAACCCUUGUUCACUGUUGCCAGCACGUUAUGGUGGGGACUCAGUGGAGACCGCCGGGGUCAACUCGGAGGAAGGUGGGGAUGACGUCAAGUCAUCAUGCCCCUUAUGUCCAGGGCUUCACGCAUGCUACAAUGGCUGGUACAGAGAGUGGCGAGCCUGUGAGGGUGAGCGAAUCUCGGAAAGCCGGUCUCAGUUCGGAUUGGGGUCUGCAACUCGACCUCAUGAAGUCGGAGUCGCUAGUAAUCGCAGAUCAGCAACGCUGCGGAAAUACGUUCCCGGG
rnacentral:rRNA from 1 species